rnacentral:pre_miRNA from 11 species
GACCGCACGGGAUAAUCUAUUAUCCCGUGCGGGCGGCUUAAAUCAACCGCACGCGAAAAUGGACAUUAUCGCGUGCGGUU